GAAAAAGGCCGACCGUUGCUUCGCUUCACGCUUCCCUUACUAAUUUGCUGUGCAGGUUGAAGAUGCUUCUGGAGGGACUUCGGACAAAGCUGAUGGCAUAUGCGGGGAGAAAGAGAGAGUCCCAGCUCAGUUCCCGGGGGGAGAUGGAGAACAGCUGUUCUGAGGUGGCCAACAAAGUUGGUAAACAAAGAAGAAAGGUGAGCUCUGGUUUGUUUGGUGGAUUUGAGGUGAUUAUUUUUUUCUGCUGGAACCCGUACGAUUCUUUUCCUAUACUUUUUUUCCGUGUUGCUAAUUAUCUGUUGGCUGUAUUUUGCAAUUGAUUGACUUCUCUCGAGGCUCCUGCUGCUGCUGUAGCAGUAGAUGGUGAUGAUGGUGAUGAACACGGAGGUAGUUACCGUGAUGGGUAAAAACCAUGAGCCAGGAGUCCCAGCAGGGCUGCUGAGCUCAAUGGCCUCACCGACCAGGACGCGGUCCCAGGGGCCCCGAGCGAGAAGAAGCGGAGCUGGUCACCGUACAUCAAGAUUUUAAUACAUUUUAAUACUCUGUCAGCAGGUGACGAAUGCAGUCUCGACGGACCCCCACCUUACGGAUUGCCACAGAAGUGGGUAACUUGAGAGCUCUCUCUUUGAGUUCCUUUUGUUUUGCUGCCUACAAGUUGGUGACAUUUCCCAACAGCUGGAGAUGCAGUCAAAAAAACGCCUGCAGCGGGCAAGAUAAAACCAGGACCUGCGAGAACAGUUGUCCACUCCGCGUGGGACUCGGGAAGAACCAGGGCAGAACCAGGGCUUAACCCCAGAAGCCGUUGGGAGACUAGCAUGGUGGGUCACAGCCAACUACAGCAGUCUAAAAGAGAGACGGGAGAAAGAGCUGGCCAAGAAAUAAGGCAAAAACCGCAAGAAGUUGAUCCCUAUGUCCAUGUAACGCAAUUUUCCACGUGCGUCUGUAGCCCAAAGGCUUCACAGCUGAACCUCCAACACGGUUAGCGAUGAGAAGAUGCUGGAGCAGAGGAAGUGCCAGUGCCAGAAAACAGAGUGCUCACAGGGAGAUGAAUGAAGCCUGGAAACCUUUGCCUUCCACCUUGUGCAGCCGCUACCCUGCAUCUAAUUCCAAGUGUUCUGUUGCAGCUUGGUACUUAAUAAACUGCGUCAUCUAGUACGUGCCUUA